rnacentral:rRNA from 1 species
CUGUUUGAUCCUGGCUCAGGACGAACGCUGGCGGCGUGCUUAACACAUGCAAGUCGAACGGAAAGGCCCUGCUUUUGUGGGGUGCUCGAGUGGCGAACGGGUGAGUAACACGUGAGUAACCUGCCCUUGACUUUGGGAUAACUUCAGGAAACUGGGGCUAAUACCGGAUAGGAGCUCCUGCUGCAUGGUGGGGGUUGGAAAGUUUCGGCGGUUGGGGAUGGACUCGCGGCUUAUCAGCUUGUUGGUGGGGUAGUGGCUUACCAAGGCUUUGACGGGUAGCCGGCCUGAGAGGGUGACCGGCCACAUUGGGACUGAGAUACGGCCCAGACUCCUACGGGAGGCAGCAGUGGGAAUAUUGCACAAUGGGCGGAAGCCUGAUGCAGCAACGCCGCGUGCGGGAUGACGGCCUUCGGGUUGUAAACCGCUUUCGCCUGUGACGAAGCGUGAGUGACGGUAAUGGGUAAAGAAGCACCGGCUAACUACGUGCCAGCAGCCGCGGUGAUACGUAGGGUGCGAGCGUUGUCCGGAUUUAUUGGGCGUAAAGGGCUCGUAGGUGGUUGAUCGCGUCGGAAGUGUAAUCUUGGGGCUUAACCCUGAGCGUGCUUUCGAUACGGGUUGACUUGAGGAAGGUAGGGGAGAAUGGAAUUCCUGGUGGAGCGGUGGAAUGCGCAGAUAUCAGGAGGAACACCAGUGGCGAAGGCGGUUCUCUGGGCCUUUCCUGACGCUGAGGAGCGAAAGCGUGGGGAGCGAACAGGCUUAGAUACCCUGGUAGUCCACGCUGUAAACGGUGGGUACUAGGUGUGGGGUCCAUUCCACGGGUUCCGUGCCGUAGCUAACGCUUUAAGUACCCCGCCUGGGGAGUACGGCCGCAAGGCUAAAACUCAAAGGAAUUGACGGGGCCCCGCACAAGCGGCGGAGCAUGCGGAUUAAUUCGAUGCAACGCGUAGAACCUUACCUGGGUUUGACAUGGAUCGGGAGUGCUCAGAGAUGGGUGUGCCUCUUUUGGGGUCGGUUCACAGGUGGUGCAUGGCUGUCGUCAGCUCGUGUCGUGAGAUGUUGGGUUAAGUC